UGCGUUCAUUUUGUUUUUUUUAUCUAAAUGAAAGUGUCUGUCGGCGACCACUGUGAAACCUGACUGACGUCUUCUGGAUCUGUAAGCCUUACGGGUCCACAUUUUUGUCUUCAUUUACUUUGUACAAAAAUACAUACCGUAUUUUUUCAGACUCUCUGAACACACGCACAGUUGAUGUCACGGCGUCAAGAGUGAAUUUUGUCACGCCGUCAAGAGAGCACCUCGUGUUGAUGUCGGCAAACAAGUUCCGGUAGGAUGUAAUUUCCACUUCAUGUUAUGGAAAAGUUUUUCUUUGAGUUGAACCCGUUUGGGGGACCAGCGGUCACUACAGUGGACAGCUCAUUAUGUUAUUAGGUGACAGGGUGCAUGAAAGGGUUAAAAUGGCUUUCCCAUGUCGCACCUGCAUAUCAGUCGCCGGGUCAACCAAACGAUGAAAAGUCCCCCAAAAAAAUGCGGUAACCAUGCAGGGUCCUUUUAUUUCUUUACAUUUUGUGCAUUUGUUUAAAAAAAUACAUAUACUUUAGCUCUCGACAUGAAACUGUGAAUCACCAAGCUCAUGACUCUUAAUGCUUCUUAUUUUUGCGAAAAGAAAAAAAUGGCAGUAUGUCAUUACUAUACAGGACAGUAUACGACACUUGUGAUUUGAACGCCACAGAUUGAAAAUGGCUGCGCAAAUUGAAUCCCACUUUUUAAAUGCCAAGAUGGGGGAGAAAAAAAAGAAUGAAAAAAAAAAGAUAUGUGGUACAUUUGUUUUCAACUGUGAACUGAGUACGGUAUGUCCUCAGAAGAAAUUGUUCUUCUUGGAGAUGAAAAAUGACAAAUCCAGACAGACAAAAAAAAAAAAGGCUGUGUUGGGUGAUUUGUGUGCUUUAAAUCACACAGGCACCAUCACAAACUCAAAAAUCAAGAAUAAAAAAAAAAGGCUUUUAGCAAUCAUUUCUUACUUUCGUUCAAUUUUUCAUACGCUGGAUGUGGCGGUGGUUACCAUGGCAACAGCAGCGCGAUGACGAGCUCUUCAAUGACCAGUUUGUUGUGAGCAGACAACCGUUUUUUAAAAAAAUUACAUUUUUUUUGUACAAAUAUUUUUAUCAAAGGCAUGUUUCAGUUUACCUACAAAAAAGGAGAGGAAAGAAAUAUUGUGCACUAUAUAUAUAUAUAUAUUUAUAUAUAUACUGUAUAUAUACAGUAUAUGAAAGGUGUUCCAAGGGGAAAGGAAAGUUCAUUGCUAUUUAUUGUAUAUAUAAAGAUUUGUGUUCCUAUGAAGUCAAUAAAGUUUGUGUCACAUUUAUUUUCAA